GCCCUCCGGUUUUGGUUCCUAGAAAACAGAAAACGCAAGUUUUCUUUCUCGCUUCCAGAAAACGCGAUUCAGAAACCACCACCGGUUUUCUUCGCCGUCCGCCGCCAUAACCUUCAACCAUCGCCCUCCGACGGCUAUUGACAUCCCUCCUUCUCAAUCUCGUAUUCGAUUGAAUCCAUGUUGUUUUGGGAGGUUGGAUCUGUUUGAAAGAUUUUGAACAAGAAAACUGGACAGCUGCUAUUGGGAAGGAAAGUCUCUAAAGAAGGCUUAGAUCUUGUUAUGUGUAUUCAAUCAAGUCAGAUUUUGAUUACAUGUAUAUUAGAUUAAGUCUCUCUCAUGUAAUUUGGAUCUCAAUGUGUAUAUGAAAUUAAGUUUUAUCCAUCAAUUAAAUCAUUUUUUUUCAAUUUAUUUUUUGGUUAGUAUUAUGCUUUGUCAUGAUUUCUUCAUAACAAUGGUUACUCUUGAUUGA
rnacentral:lncRNA from 1 species